CGUGGGUGGAAGAGGACCGGGAAUACCAAUGACGGAUCCAGGAUAGACCUAGAAGCCCAGGCAUAAGAAGGUAGGAUACUUAAGCUUACCCUUAAAAUUUAUGAGCUAUUAAGACUAAGAAACCGGCCAAUAAAUAUUCGAAAAUUGUUCUCAAAGUACCGGAAUUGGGUUGGAUUCAAAUUUAGUAACAUUAUUUAUCGAGCUCAGAUGGAUAAUAUUAUAGAAAAUAUCGUAAUAUGAAAAAAAAACCUU